GCAUAAUCAUUUGCCUCUUAAUUAGAGGCUGGAAUGAAGGGAUAUACGAAAUUAAAUCUGUCUCUGUGUUAUUUAUAUAAAUUGUCUUUUAGGUGAAGAGACUUAAAUUUUAAUGAAAGACAAAAAGACCCUAUUGAGCUUUAUUUUUAUAAGGAUUUUUUGAGUGAUUUACUUUUUUACUUUAAUAAAUUUGGUUGGGGCGACAAAGGAAUAUAUAAAUCUUCCUUAUAUAUAAAGAAUUUUAUUCUUUUAAGAGAUCUAUUUAUAUCAAAAGAAGAAAUAGUUACCAUAGGGAUAACAGGCUAAUCUCCUCGGAGAGUUCAAAUUGAUGAGGGGGGUUGGCACCUCGAUGUUGGCUUAGGGUAUCCUAGGGAUGUAGCAGUCUCUAAGGGUUGGUUUGUUCAACCAUUAAAACCUUA
rnacentral:rRNA from 1 species